rnacentral:rRNA from 1 species
GACGAACGCUGGCGGCGUGCUUAACACAUGCAAGUCGAACGGUGAUCUUGGGAGCUUGCUCCUGGGUGAUCAGUGGCGAACGGGUGAGUAACACGUGAGUAACCUGCCCCUGACUCUGGAAUAACUUCGGGAAACCGAAGCUAAUACCGGAUAUGACACAGAGCCGCAUGGUUUCUGUGUGGAAAGUUUUUUCGGUUGGGGAUGGACGCGCGGCCUAUCAGCUUGUUGGUGAGGUAAUGGCUCACCAAGGCGACGACGGGUAGCCGGCCUGAGAGGGCGACCGGCCACACUGGGACUGAGACACGGCCCAGACUCCUACGGGAGGCAGCAGUGGGGAAUAUUGCACAAUGGGCGAAAGCCUGAUGCAGCGACGCCGCGUGAGGGAUGAAGGCCUUCGGGUUGUAAACCUCUUUCAGUAGGGAAGAAGCGCAAGUGACGGUACCUACAGAAGAAGCACCGGCUAACUACGUGCCAGCAGCCGCCGUAAAAC